rnacentral:tRNA from 1 species
UUCGCGCGACCGGCACGGCCGACGCCGAGGCGGGCUUCGGGCCCGCCCUCCGCUCAGUUCGGGUCCGGCACGCGCGCC